CCUACGGGAGGCAGCAGUCGAGAAUCAUUCACAAUGGGGGAAACCCUGAUGGUGCGACGCCGCGUGGGGGAAUGAAGGUCUUCGGAUUGUAAACCCCUGUCAUGUGGGAGCAAAUUAAAAAGAUAGUACCACAAGAGGAAGAGACGGCUAACUCUGUGCCAGCAGCCGCGGUAAUACAGAGGUCUCAGGCGUUGUUCGGAAUCACUGGGCGUAAAGCGUGCGUAGGCUGUUUCGUAAGUCGUGUGUGAAAGGCGCGGGCUCAACCCGCGGACGGCACAUGAUACUGCGGGACUAGAGUGAUGGAGGGGGAACCGGAAUUCUCGGUGUAGCAGUGAAAUGCGUAGAUAUCGAGAGGAACACUAGUGGCGAAGGCGGGUUCCUGGACAUUAACUGACGCUGAGGCACGAAGGCCAGGGGAGCGAAAGGGAUUAGAUACCCCUGUAGUC
rnacentral:rRNA from 1 species